rnacentral:rRNA from 1 species
UACGUAGGGUGCAAGCGUUGUCCGGAAUUAUUGGGCGUAAAGAGCUCGUAGGCGGUUUGUUGCGUCGGCUGUGAAAUCCCGAGGCUCAACCUCGGGUCUGCAGUCGAUACGAGCAAACUAGAGUGUUGCAGGGGAGACUGGGAAUUCCUGGUGUAGCGGUGAAAUGCGCAGAUAUCAGGAGGAACACCGAUGGCGAAGGCAGGUCUCUGGGCCACUACUGACGCUGAGAAGCGGAAAGCAUGGGGAGCGAACAGG